GCCGGGGUCGCUCAGUCUGGUAGAGAGGAUAUAUCUUUCCCCUAUAACGCAGGCCUUGAGAGCCUGUGGCCCAACCGGGCCGCGUGGGUUCAAAUCCCACCCCCGGCG
rnacentral:tRNA from 1 species